AACGAACGCUGGCGGCAGGCCUAACACAUGCAAGUCGAGCGCGCCCUUCGGGGUGAGCGGCGGACGGGUGAGUAACGCGUGGGAACGUGCCCUUUUCUACGGAAUAGCCUCGGGAAACUGAGAGUAAUACCGUAUACGCCCUUUGGGGGAAAGAUUUAUCGGAAAAGGAUCGGCCCGCGUUGGAUUAGGUAGUUGGUGGGGUAAUGGCCUACCAAGCCGACGAUCAUAAGCGGGUUGAGAGGAAGAGCAGCCACACCGGGGCCGAGAACCGGCCCAGAACACUACGGGAGGGAGGAGUGGGGAAUCCUAGAAAAUGGGGGCAACCCUGAUCUAGCCAUGCCGCGUGAGUGAUGAAGGCCUUAGGGUUGUAAAGCUCUUUCAGCUGGGAAGAUAAUGACGGUACCAGCAGAAGAAGCCCCGGCUAACUCCGUG
rnacentral:rRNA from 1 species